AGUGAACGCUGGCGGUAGGCCUAACACAUGCAAGUCGAACGGCAGCACAGUAAGAGCUUGCUCUUACGGGUGGCGAGUGGCGGACGGGUGAGGAAUACAUCGGAAUCUACUUUUUCGUGGGGGCUAACGUAGGGAAACUUACGCUAAUACCGCAUACGACCUACGGGUGAAAGCAGGGGAUCUUCGGACCUUGUGCGAUUGAAUGAGCCGAUGUCGGAUUAGCUAGUUGGCGGGGUAAAGGCCCACCAAGGCGACGAUCCGUAGCUGGUCUGAGAGGAUGAUCAGCCACACUGGAACUGAGACACGGUCCAGACUCCUACGGGAGGCAGCAGUGGGGAAUAUUGGACAAUGGGCGCAAGCCUGAUCCAGCCAUACCGCGUGGGUGAAGAAGGCCUUCGGGUUGUAAAGCCCUUUUGUUGGGAAAGAAAAGCAGCAGGUUAAUACCCCGCUGUUCUGACGGUACCCAAAGAAUAAGCACCGGCUAACUUCGUG
rnacentral:rRNA from 1 species